GACGAACGCUGGCGGCGUGCUUAACACAUGCAAGUCGAACGGAAAGGCCCUGCUUUUGUGGGGUGCUCGAGUGGCGAACGGGUGAGUAACACGUGAGUAACCUGCCCUUGACUUUGGGAUAACUUCAGGAAACUGGGGCUAAUACCGGAUAGGAGCUCCUGCUGCAUGGUGGGGGUUGGAAAGUUUCGGCGGUUGGGGAUGGACUCGCGGCUUAUCAGCUUGUUGGUGGGGUAGUGGCUUACCAAGGCUUUGACAGGUAGCCGGCCUGAGAGGGUGACCGGCCAAAUGGGGACGGAGAUACGGCCCAAACCCCCGGGGGGGGGAGGAGGGGGGAAUAUUGCAAAAGGGGGGGAAGCCUGAUGCAGAAACCCCGGGGGGGGGAGGACGGCCUUGGGGUGGAAAACCGUUUUCGCCUGGGACGAAGCGUGGGUGACGGUAAUGGGUAAAGAAGCACCGGCUAACUACGU
rnacentral:rRNA from 1 species